rnacentral:lncRNA from 1 species
UCACUUAUAAUUUACUAGGUACACGGUUGCAAUAACAUAAUUUGUCUCAUCACUAUCUCAUUCUCUUAGAUAAUUGAACCUCUGCAUACUUUCCUCUAAUUUUGGGUACUUUCACUACUACUGCUCAUGAUCUCGUAACUUAUGUUACCUUUUCGGGCAAAAAUACUACACAAGCUCUAAUCAGACUUCCUCAUAAGGAUCUUAGUUAUAACAAGGCUUAAGGAAAAGAGUACAACUCGCUUUUAGCUCAAACGCACGAUUCAUAUAAUUAUGGGUACAUUCCUCUAAAACUCAACACUUAACUCACUCAUGGGCUUCUCUCAAGCCCUUCUGGAGUCUCAUGACUUCCUCAAGACUCUUGUUAAGAAUAACUCAUCGAUAAAGGACUGGCUUUUCUAUUCAACCACCUCUAGUAUGAGGGGUAGUCGAAUGAAUCUGAGAAACGCACGAGUAUGAAUAAUCUCUAUGACUUAGCUCUAUUGAACGAUUAAGAGUAUGAAAGAAGGAAAACUUUUCUUAAAUGUCUGCAGUCCCUAAUUUAAAGAAGUGGAGCCCUCACAACCAUAAACAAGAUUGUACCGUCACAUCUUCAUAGACACCCUAGGACACCUGAACUCUGUGCUCUGAUACCAAGUUUUUCACGUAUCCGAGUCUACACCCUGGACGUGGCCGACACUCGAGAACCAUUGUCGAUCCCCAAGCGAACCUUCAUCCUUGCCGACUACAAGCAGAAGACUAACUUAAGCAUUCAAAAACUUAAAAACUGAAUUAAGUUCAAUAAACUCAACUUUAAAAUAAUCUAAACAAUACUCAAUAGUUAACUCAGAGAUUGUAAAAACAACUCAAAGAAGAUACAUACUGAAAACUACUCAACUUUAUCUAUCUAUGAAGCCUCUACUAUUAUAGAAGGAUAUCGGGACAAGACCCACAACAUCUCAAAACUACUAACUGUAAGAUAAAGGUAAAGUUCUUCGAAAUAUAAGAAGGCUCACCAAAGCUGAUUGGAACAUCCCAUGACCUCAACGAAACGCCUGCUGAUGAUCCUGAAUAUCUGUAUCUGCAUCAUGAAACGAUGCAGGCUAAAUGGCUAAGUACAUGGAAUAUAUGAGCAUGUAAGGGGAAUUCUAAAGCAUAAACAUAAGCUUGAAUUGGUGGAAAAGAAACAUACUUACCUCUUCUCAACUCAACUCAAAGAAACAUAAUUCAACUCAACUCAGAGAAAAUAGGGCUCAACUCAAUAAUAAGAUACUCAACUCAGUGAAAUAAGGCUUAACUCAAUAAUAAGAUACUCAACUCUGGAUACUCAACUUAAUAUAAAGCAACAAUACAGAUGCAAUAUAUGGAAAACUUUUAAAACAGUAGAAAGCAACUCAAUGUAUUGAAAAAUACAAUAGUAACUCAGUUUGUAUGCAAGGAUACAAGAUAAACUCUGCUUGUAUAUAAAAAUACAAAGUAAACUCUGUGUAUAUAAGAAUACAAAAAUAUCUCUAUGGAAGUUUCUCUAAUCGACAACCAUCACUAUGAAUUAUAUGAUGAUACAACGUCAAACCCACGCUUCCAGAGCCAUCCUAUACUUUGCCUGGGUAUAGAACCUACUACUAAGUGGAUCACUAGUCUAUGCUAAAAGCAUUAAGGAAUCAUCUAAAAAGUAUGACCCUUUCUACCCACAUUGGCUACAUGGUUUAUGAGGGUUGUGAGUUGUAUGAUCUCUCCCCCAUAUUGGUGCUCAAUACUACUCCCGAAAUAUACUUAGCUCAUUAUGUUUCAAAGAAAACAUUUCUNNNNNNNNNNNNNNNNNNNNNNNNNNNNNNNNNNNNNNNNNNNNNNNNNNNNNNNNNNNNNNNNNNNNNNNNNNNNNNNNNNNNNNNNNNNNNNNCUCAAAACUCUUUUGGAAAUCUCAGUUUCCUCUCAUCGUAAAUUUAAAAACAUUUACUCUUGGGAAUACUUAGUUCUCAUAUAUCAUUUUAAAGAAAAUGAACUCAGCUCUACUCUUCCUCAACUCAAUGCUCAAGUUUUUAAAACAAGUUUUAAAACAAUUUGUAAAAAGACUUUUUAAAAUAGGUUCAUGCCGAAUAUGGACGUGAACGACUCAAUUCAAGGUUUUCAAUAACCAUGCAUCGAAUUCAAUACUUCNNNNNNNNNNNNNNNNNNNNNNNNNNNNNNNNNNNNNNNNNNNNNNNNNNNNNNNNNNNNNNNNNNNNGGGUUCAUGCGGAAUUAUGGGCAUGAACAACUCAACUCAAAGACUUCAUGAGUAACAUAUAAUAGUAUCAUGAUUAGAUAUAUAAUCUCAAAAGGGUUAGGAACUCAAUACUCAAGACUUAGGAACUUGAAGAUACUACUCUUCUCAAGGAUACUCAACUUAUAGAGUUCAUGCGGAAUUUAUGGCAUGAACGACUCGACUCAAGGGUCUACAUAACAAUAUGGAACUCAUGUAUAUGACUGUUCUCAUUCUCAUACUUGCUUCCUUAAAACAUAGCUCAAAUCGAUAGUUGAUCUCAAAUGAUUCAUAAUUGAACUCAAAGACUUUCUUGAAUUCUACUCUUAACUCUCUCUCUUGAAUUUGAAUUAUGGAUUCAAGGAGUUUAUGAUUAAUGAUAUGAAGGAUCUCGUGAUGAUAAUGUAGACUCAUGAAUACAUUCUCCUCAUUCACAUACUCACUUACUCGAGUACUUGAAAACAAAAUUAAUUAGAAAUUGUAGAAGACUCUUCAAAAAGACUCAAAGGGACUUUCUCAAAAUACUCGAAAGAACUCUCAAGACAUGACUCUUAACUCUACCUUGAAUUUGAAUUAUGGAUUCAAGGGUUAUGAUUUGUGGUAUGAAGGAUAUCGUGAUGAUUAAAUGAGUUUUAGAUAGUUAAUAAGAAGAAAUGGUCAAAAAAACAUUAUAUGGGAGCAAGUAUGCGACGGAAAGAUUAAUUAUAAUAUUUGAUCACGAAAUAAUUUUUAAAACAUUGGAUUCCGCUUUCUCUCUGAGACGCGGAGAGGAAAAUUUCACUCUGAAGGAACAGGUUCGCGACGCGGACCUGGUACCUUAUUUUUUGCCUGAUCUUUUCUUACUCAUUUUCUAACCUCGAUUUGCCUAGAAUUGAAUGGUUUCUUUUCCAAGCACUUAGAUUCGAAUACUUAACUUAUGUACAUGAUAAUCUACUCCAAACCACCCUCAAUUCACUAACUUUAAUCUCAAGAAUUCAUUAAAAACAUCCUAAUUCAAGAACGGAAACAAUACUUUCAAGAAACAAAUCAAGAACUCAAAUUUUUUCAACUUCAAGAACGAAACUUCGUUGAAAAUAACAUGAUUGACGUAUGGGUGAACAAACCCAACACUAUGAAAAACUGACAUACCUCUUAGGGAUUAGACCCAUGGCGAAAAUCCGCAACAAAACUCAAGAAUCUCGACGAACAGUUUGAUCCUUUCCUCUUUUCUCUUAUUUUCUCUUCUCGAACUCUCAACUAAAACCCUAAGCAUAGAUUAGGAUUAUAAAACUGAACUAAACCAGUUUACACUUCUAAAACCUUACUAAGAAUGAAUUAAAUCUAAUUGGGUAAGGAAAAUACCAAAAUACCCCUCACUAUUUAUGGGUAACUUUCCUUAACUGGACAGUCUGACUUCAAAAGGGCAUAUCUCACUCAUCCGAGCUCGAAAGUUAGCAAACUCGGUGGUGUUGGUAAGAUAAUUCAAAGAACUUUCUUUUUAUAGUUUAUGGGUCACCUAACAAAUCGCGUACUGAAAGUUAUGGUCGUUUGAAGUUGACCCUAAACUUAAGUAACUUACGAAUAACUUGAACGAAUUCUCUUUAGUUGUUUUUAGAACUCAAUGUGCAACACAAGUAAACUUAACACUCAAGAAAUUUUAAAUUUCUCGGUAAAAUCUUACUCACCACAAAGGAUGGUUCGAGUCUUAGUUCAAAAAAUUUCUGGAAUGUUACACUAACGAUAGCCAUACAAUAUCACAUCUAUAUGCUAAUAAUAUUUUGCCUUAAUUAUCAAACCAACAUCUACGUAUAUCAGCAUAAAAAAAAUGGUUAAGGAUUUCUCCGUACCUGGAGGCCUUCUUUUCUUUGUUUCUCUUCGUGCACCUGUGUCGUUUGCACAAGUGUGGUUCUUUUCUUGCUUUUAAUUCUUUAUGGAAAAUAAUUAUGGACUACUAAAUAAAUAAAUAUUAAUUCCUAAUAAUUUCUUCAUAUACAUGGCCAUGUGGUAAGGGUAUUAAAUAAAUUAUGGAUUUGGCCCAAUAACCACCAAUUAAUAAAAAUUAAUUAUUUAAUAAAUAUACGUCGACUAAAUAACCACAGUUAAACUAAUCGUUUAAGAUUCUCAUUUAAAUUUUAUGAAAAGGUUCUUUUAUGAAAGAAAUAGAUCUAGUACUCAAACAGACUAAUGGAUCGUUACAUAAUUCACCACUAAAAACUAUGUCCGUCCUCGAGCAUAAAGAAGGAGAAGGAAGAAUAACUAACUUUACCAAAAGUCUGGCUUAUGAUCUUCCAAUCGGUGUUCAUCUCUCAAAGUGAGCUCCUCCUUAAGACCAUUCCAUCAAGAUUAACUACAAAGAAACAAAUGAUUAUCAGGCCACAUACUAACCCAUAAAGUCAAUCUAAACUGAAACCCACCCACUGGACCAUAACACAACCAUCAUAAUGAAUUUUUUUUCUCAUAUAACCAAGAUAACGUUCUGAAUCAAUAUUGGCUACAACUAGUAGUGAACGUGAACCAAUCACUACACACUCAUAAUGCACAAACCAUCACAGAUAUUAUCAAGAUUUCCUUUCCAUAACACAAUCUUUUCACGAGUUUAAGUUAUAAAAAUCUAAUCUUUAGAUAUCGGAUACUCAUCAAGGGAGAAUCAAUUUUUAUCUAACCCAAAGAAGAAAAUGAUUAAGUAAACACCCAACAAGCGAUACACUUCAAAAUUCAGAACCUCUAACAACACUCCUAGACAAUUGUAACUCAUUAUAGCUCUUAUAUAAGUUCUCAUAAGCGACGUUGUGCGUGUAAACUACUGGUAUACUUUAACUAUCCCAAACAACACCAAAUCUACCAUAAUUGAAAUAACCAAGUCUUUCCAAGGAUCCUACCCUAUCAAGAGGACAUAAGAGGAUCGGUACAUCCGAUCCACCACUAGGGAUUCACCCAUAAAUGUAGAAACACACGUGGACAUAUGCAAUGAAUCAUACUGCAAAUCAUGUCAGAAACGAAGUAGGUGAUCACAAAAGAAUGUACGGAACCAAGGUCAAAUAACACAAGAUACUCUUUUCAUAGUGUCCAUACCAAAUAUUUUCACUCAUUUGACUCCAUCUCUUUGAUUUUUAGCUACCCACAAUCCACCAGUCUUGUCCCCAAUACGAUCCUACUCAUACUCAAUGUAUCAUACCUCACAUACUUCUCAUAUUACUCCACUGAAGUCAACCAUCUUAAUACUAACAAAACAUCAUAACCACACUAGUCAUUUACCUUACUCUCAAACUUUCACUAGUAUCAAAGUCUUUUAAGCAACACAUUGUCGCCUUCAAAAAUUAUGAACCAUGGCUCCCUUUAUUUUCAUUUAAGCAUUCCAUGACAGAUAGGAGUCACACUUAAGACUGAUAGAACUAAUUCAAAAUCUAAAAGUAAUUUUCCAUCGAGGUAUAACAAUUGAAUCAUACCCAAAGUCAACUUCACACAAACUUUCACAUACAAUAUUUCAACUACUAUUCCAAACCAUCACAUAACUCAUUCUAAAACUCAUAGAAAUCCUUGGUCACUCAAAUAAUUAUGUAUAUUAUAAUCUCAUAACAUUUAUUUACCAUCCAAUGUCUAUGCAAUGCAUCACAAUAGUUUGUGUAGUCUCAUCAAUAGGGUAGUAUCAAUCUAACUCGAAAUCCUUAAUAAUCAUGUAGAAUUGUAUCAUAUCAUAUAGUGCAUCCACAAGUCAAUUAUAACACCCUGGAUCCAGAAAAGGGCAAAGCAACAGUUUUCAGGAAGUUGUAGGUGCCAAUUGAUGAUGGUCGACCACGGACCGUAGGUGUGGUAUGUGGUUGGUGUUGACAUCCUUCGAAAGGGCACAACGUCGCGAUGACUCACCAAAAAAUAAUAAACAAUUUAAAGAAUGAAAGAAUUUUAAAAAGGGUAAAGGGGUUUAGAGAGAGUCGCUACCUAAUUUUAGGAAAACUAGGAAACCAAUUAACUAACUUAAUAAAAAUGUCUACGAAACCAAAGAUUCUAGGUAAGGGAUUCAAGUUAUUCCGAAGGAAAGGUGUUAGGCAUCCUUCGAAAUCCACAAUUGUGGGUCCUGACUGAAUUCAUUUUUUCAAAUUGAGGAGGAGAUAAAAACAAAUAUACAAGUAUAAUAAGCAAGUGAUUUACACAAGUAAUAAAAUGAAACAAUAAUAUAAGAAACGGCCUAAAGCUUGACUAACAUCGAUAUAUACAAAAUAAUGAAUAAAGAAUAUAAUUCGAAUUUCAUUCGAAUAGCUUUAAUGGGAAGCAACUCUGUGUACAUGUAAAGACACAUAGUAAAAAUAUUAGUAAUAAAUAAACAUGAAUAAAAAUAAAUGAUCAAAGCAUAACUUAAAAGUAAAAACCCGUCUUAUUAACAUGGAAAGCCUUGAAAAUCAACGAUAAUUUCUUCAUCGACCAUUUUAACAAACAAAAUAUGAACAUAAACCAAAUUUCCGUCUUUUAACAUUGGAAAAACCUCCAAAAUCGAUAGAGAGAUUUUUCAUUGGUCAUUGUACAUACAACACAACACAAUAAACAAUAAUAGCAACAAAAUCUUAUAAUAUAGUAACUAAAUAUAAACCAACAAUAUAUGAACAGUAACAAAAUAUAAAAUUCAUUGGAACAAAUUUCCACACCAAAUCAUUAAACAAAGAAUAUGUAACAUUAUAAUGAUAAAAAAUAACGACAAAACAAUAGAUAACAUUCCAAAAAUAAUAAAGAAAUAACCAAAAUCCAAAUCACUGCAUAGCUCAUUUUAUAGUAUUAAAAAAACGUUAAUAAGAUAAUAAAUAAAAUUCAAGACUUGAGCAAAAGCAGAUAAAAAGCAAACUAAAAAUCAAAAUCAACAAAUUACAAUGUAAAAGAAGAAAUAAAAUAAUGAGAUAUUUAAAAUAACAAAAACAUAAACAACAACAAUAAAGUAUCUAAACUAACAAAUUUUAUCUUUGGACCAAAUCAUAAGAUAAUAGCACAUAACAAUAGCUGUAGCAACAUAAUUAAGGCAACAUAUCACGGAGAUAAAUAAAUCAAAAAAAUUGGCUAAAUAAAGCCAAGACACCCUGGAGAAGAUGAGAUUAACAAAAAAAUACCACUUAACACAGUAAAAAAAAAAAAAACUAUUCAACUCAACAAAAGCAUAACCAGCAUACAAGUCAAUAAUGAUUAAGAAUAAAGAGCAAAACAAAUCCAAGUAUUAAUUAAUAUUUAGAACAAAAUCAGACUGAGAGGGAACCUAACUGACGGAGUUCUCUUUGAGUCUCCAGAGUUUGCGUUGCGGCGGCGUGUGGUGCUCAUCGGUGGUGUUUGUUUAUUGCUCUGAUGGAGCUGAUUCGUCCCGCCUUUGAUGGGAGCUGUGGAUUUAUUGUUGUUGGCGACUAUUCGCCAG